rnacentral:rRNA from 1 species
UUCUAUUAUGGAGAGUUUGAUCCUGGCUCAGGACGAACGCUGGCGGCGUGCCUAAUACAUGCAAGUCGAGCGGAUUGAAG